rnacentral:rRNA from 1 species
UACGAAGGGGGCUAGCGUUGCUCGGAAUUACUGGGCGUAAAGCCCACGUAGGCGGAUUGUUAAGUCGGAGGUGAAAUCCUGGAGCUCAACUCCAGAACUGCCUUCGAUACUGGCGAUCUCGAGUUCGGGAGAGGUGAGUGGAACUGCGAGUGUAGAGGUGAAAUUCGUAGAUAUUCGCAAGAACACCAGUGGCGAAGGCGGCUCACUGGCCCGAUACUGACGCUGAGGUGCGAAAGCGUGGGGAGCAAACAGG